rnacentral:rRNA from 1 species
GAUGAACGCUAGCGGCAGGCUUAACACAUGCAAGUCGAGGGGUAGAGGAAGCUUGCUUCCUUGAGACCGGCGCACGGGUGCGUAACGCGUAUGCAACCUACCCUUUACAGAGGGAUAGCCCAGAGAAAUUUGGAUUAAUACCUCAUGGUAUAUAUCAUUCGCAUGUUUGAUAUAUUAAAGUUCCAACGGUAAAAGAUGGGCAUGCGUCCUAUUAGCUAGAUGGUAAGGUAACGGCUUACCAUGGCAACGAUAGGUAGGGGUCCUGAGAGGGAGAUCCCCCACACUGGUACUGAGACACGGACCAGACUCCUACGGGAGGCAGCAGUGAGGAAUAUUGGACAAUGGACGCAAGUCUGAACCAGCCAUGCCGCGUGAAAGGAUGAAAGGCCUUCUGGGUUGUAAAACUUCUUUUAUCUGGGAAGGAAAACCUCCGAUUUCUAUUGGAGUUGACGGUACCAGAGGAAUAAGCACCGGCUAAACUCCGUG